AUUUUGUAUUCUGCAUAUCCCCUCCUCAAUCAUUGCCUAGCCCCUAGAUGGCCAAUUCCGAAAAACUAAUGAGUUGAGAUCAUGAAAGGGGACUUAUGCUUUCAUUAUGUAGAUAAAGACGCUUCAGGACAUUCCUGAAACCAGAGACUUGUAACAGAUAAAAGCAAGAAAAGUUAUUUUGGACCAUCAAGGUAGAAAAUUUCUGGAUCAGUACACCUCAGAUCAUCUGUAUCAGAUUGCAUUGCUCAUGUUUGGACUGUUAGAGAAAAGAAAGUUCUCCUUCUAAGCUGCUAUAAGGUUUGUCUAUUAGUAAACCAUCUUGGCUACUAUAACGAGUCCAUCUUCCAGGAAAUGAGGAAAAUGUGGAACCCUCUCUCCUCCAGGGGCAAAACUCUGAACAGACAGGCUCCCAGGAGCUGGUACUAAUGGGCUGCUCGAGUUUGGGUGAUACAGUGAUUUGUAAUGAAACUAGUUGGGUGGACACCUUUUGAGACUCAAGAUUCCUCAGAAGAACCAUCCAAAGCUCACUACGAGGAGUGCCAAGAAAUCCCAGUACGGGGAUACCACCGCAUAUUAGAACCAGCACAUCAAAGUCCCAAGUAGGCCAUUAUACUUCACCCCUUUACAACUGGAUGCUCACCUCCCCUGCUAG
rnacentral:lncRNA from 1 species